rnacentral:sRNA from 1 species
GCCAAGAUUGCCUUGUGAUUAGCUGACC